rnacentral:rRNA from 1 species
ACGCCUUAUACAUGCAAGUCGAACGAAGUAGCAAUACUUAGUGGCAGACGGGUGAGUAACAUGUGGGUAUCUUCCCUUUGGUGAGGAAUAACACGAGGAAACUUGUGCUAAUACCUCAUAAGUCUUUACGGAGAAAGCUUUAUGCGCCAUUGGAUGAGCCUGCACUUGAUUAGUUAGUUGGUGGGGUAAAGGCCUACCAAGACUUUGAUCAAUAGCUGAUUUGAGAGGAUGAUCAGCCACAUUGGGACUGAGACACGGCCCAAACUCCUACGGGAGGCAGCAGUAAGGAAUCUUGCACAAUGGAGGAAACUCUGAUGCAGCGAUGCCGCGUGAGUGAAGAAGGCCUUUGGGUUGUAAAGCUCUUUCGUCGGGGAAGAAAAUGACUGUACCCGAAUAAGAAGGUCCGGCUAACUUCGUGCCAGCAGCCGCGGUAAUACGAAGGGACCUAGCGUAGUUCGGAAUUACUGGGCUUAAAGAGUUCGUAGGUGGUUAAAAAAGUUGGUGGUGAAAUCCCAGAGCUUAACUCUGGAACUGCCAUCAAAACUUUUUAGCUAGAGUUUGAUAGAGGAAAGCAGAAUUUCUAGUGUAGAGGUGAAAUUCGUAGAUAUUAGAAAGAAUACCAAUUGCGAAGGCAGCUUUCUGGAUCAUUACUGACACUGAGGAACGAAAGCAUGGGUAGCGAAGAGGAUUAGAUACCCUCGUAGUCCAUGCCGUAAACGAUGUGUGUUAGACGUUGGAAAUUUAUUUUCAGUGUCGCAGCGAAAGCGAUAAACACACCGCCUG